UUCUCUUAAGGUUAUUGUUUAUGAGUGAGGCUUUCUUAUUUUCUGUUUCUCUUUCCCAUUCCUUGUCGAGACGUAAUCUACCAAGAAUCUGAUCUUGAAUACCCUCAAGCUGAAAGUCUUUAGAUACCACAACCCAUAU
rnacentral:sRNA from 1 species